rnacentral:rRNA from 1 species
AGAGUUUGAUCCUGGCUCAGAACGAACGCUGGCGGCAGGCUUAACACAUGCAAGUCGAACGCACCGCAUGGUGAGUGGCAGACGGGUGAGUAACGCGUGGGAACCUUCCCUUUGGUACGGAAUAACUUCGGGAAACCGAAGCUAAUACCGUAUAUCUCCUGCGGGAGAAAGAUUUAUCGCCAAAGGAUGGGCCCGCGUUGGAUUAGCUAGUUGGUGUGGUAAUGGCGCACCAAGGCGACGAUCCAUAGCUGGUCUGAGAGGAUGAUCAGCCACACUGGGACUGAGACACGGCCCAGACUCCUACGGGAGGCAGCAGUGGGGAAUAUUGGACAAUGGGGGCAACCCUGAUCCAGCCAUGCCGCGUGAGUGAAGAAGGCCUUAGGGUUGUAAAGCUCUUUUGGCGGGGACGAUAAUGACGGUACCCGCAGAAUAAGCCCCGGCUAACUUCGUGCCAGCAGCCGCGGUAAU